GUCCACGCUGUAAACGAUGACGACUAGGUGUGGGGUGGUUCAGUCCAUUCCGUGCCGCAGCUAACGCAUUAAGUCGUCCGCCUGGGGAGUACGGCCGCAAGGUUGAAACUCAAAGGAAUUGACGGGGCCCGCACAAGCGGUGGAGCAUGUGGUUCAAUUCGAUGCAGAGCGAAGAACCUUACCUGGGCUUGACAUGUAGGGAGUAGAAACCCGAAGGGGGACGACCUGUUGAGUCAGGAGCCUACACAGGUGGUGCAUGGCUGUCGU
rnacentral:rRNA from 1 species